rnacentral:sRNA from 12 species
UCUGUGGAUCGUCACAUCAAAUGAGAGUAGUUGUUGAUAGUAAUAUCACAACAAAAUCAGACGGGAUGAAACAGAAA